AGCGUAGGCGGCGAAGCAAGUCAGAUGUGAAAGCCCGGGGCUCAACCCCGGGACUGCAUUUGAAACUGUUUUGCUAGAGUAUCGGAGAGGUAAGUGGAAUUCCUAGUGUAGCGGUGAAAUGCGUAGAUAUUAGGAGGAACACCAGUGGCGAAGGCGGCUUACUGGACGAUAACUGACGCUGAGGCUCGAAAGCGUGGGGAGCAAACAG
rnacentral:rRNA from 1 species